rnacentral:rRNA from 1 species
GCUACCAUGCAGUCGUACGAGAAAUCCUGGGCAACUGGGAGAGUAAAGUGGCGCACGGGUGAGUAACGCGUGGGUAACCUGCCCUUGAAUUGGGGAUAACUUUCCGAAAGGAAGGUUAAUACCGAAUAACAUUCCGAUCUCCUCGGGGGUUGGAAUCAAAGGUAGCCUCUGCAUGCAAGCUACUGUUUAAGGAUGGGCCCGCGUACCAUUAGCUUGUUGGUAGGGUAACGGCCUACCAAGGCUACGAUGGUUAGCUGGUCCGAGAGGAUGGCCAGCCACACUGGAACUGAGACACGGUCCAGACUCCUACGGGAGGCAGCAGUGGGGAAUCUUGCGCAAUGGGGGAAACCCUGACGCAGCAACGCCGCGUGGGUGAUGAAGGCCUUCGGGUCGUAAAGCCCUGUCAGGUGGGACGAACCGUAUCGGUACAAACAAUGCCGAUGCUUGACGGUACCACCGGAGGAAGCACCCGCUAACUCCGUGCCAACAGCCGCGAUAAAA